CAAGGUCUUAGAGGCUCAGGGUGGAGGCCUGGGCGCCCACAGGCGAAGAAGGACGUGCCAGCCGACGAAACGCUCCGUAGAGCCGGUUAGAGGCAGUGAGACGGAGGUAUCCGAAUGGGGAAACCCUUUAACUACCCCCUGUAGAGGGGGCUAGAGCGAACCUGGGGAACUGAACCAUCUUAGUACCCAGAGGAACAGAAAGUAACAACGAUCCCCUGAGUAGUGGCGAGCGAAACGGUGGGACCAAGGCGACAAAGACAAUGCGUUGCCUGCCAACAAACCUUCCAUAGAAGCGGGGGUGAUGAGAGUGGUCAGAGCUUGUGACUGCUCGAGUAGGAUGGAGCAUGGGAAAGCCCGUUUGAAUCAGCGAGGACCACCUUGCCAGGCUAAAUACUCGUGGGUGACCGAUAGUGCACCAGUACCGUGAGGGAAAGGUGAAAAGCACCCCGACGAGGGGAGUGAAAGAGACCCUGAAACCGAAUGCUUACAAUCAGUCGGAGCCCGCAAGGGUGACGGCGUACCUUUUGCAUAAUGGGUCAGCGAGUUGGUCUGUGCAGCGAGCUUAAGCCGGUAGGCGUAGGCGCAGCGAAAGCGAGUCUGAACAGGGCGUUCAGUUCGUCGGACUAGACCCGAAACCGAGUGAUCUAGCCAUGAGCAGGCUGAAGGUUGGGUAACACCAACUGAAGGGCCGAACCCGUAUCUGUUGCAAUAGAUUGGGAUGACUUGUGGCUAGGGGUGAAAGGCCAAUCAAACCCGGAGAUAGCUGGUUCUCCGCGAAAACUAUUUAGGUAGUGCGUCGAGUAUUACCCUCGGGGGUAGAGCACUGGAUGGGCUAGGGGGCCGCGAGGCUUAC
rnacentral:rRNA from 1 species